GGAAGGAAGGUGGAGGGUAUCAGCCCCUCCGCUUCGGGCCCCAGGCCCCCACUUCCUGAGAUAUUUCUUCACCGCCGUGUCCCCGGCCCGGCCGCGGGGGAGGCCCGGUACCUGGAGGUCGGCUACGUGGACGACCUGCCUUUCGAGGGGUUCGACAGCGACUCCGAGAGUCAGAGGGCGGAGCCGCGGGCGCCGUGGAUGGAGCAGGUGGAGCCGGGCGAUUGGGACCAGAGCACCCGGAACGCCAAGAGAGAGACACAGAUUUUCCGAGAGAGCCUGCACAACCUGCGCGGCUACUACAACCAGAGCGAGGACGGGUCUCACACCUUCCAGCAGAUGUGGGGCUGUGACAUGGGACCGGACGGCCGCCUCCUCCGCGGUUAUGACCAGUACGCUUACGAUGGAACCGACUACAUCGCCCUGAACGAGAACCUGCGCUCCUGGACCGCGGCCGACACCGCAGCUCAGAUCACCCAGCGCAAGUGGGAGGAGGCCGGUGAGGCUGAGCGACUCAGGAACAUCCUGGAGGGCAGGUGCAUGGAGUUGCUCCACAGAGUCCUGGAGAUGGGGAAGGAGGUGCUGCAGCGCGCAGACCCUCCAAAGACACACGUGACCCACCACCCCAUCUCUGACCGUGAGGUCACCCUGAGGUGCUGGGCCCUGGGCUUCUACCCUGCGGACAUCAGCCUGAGCUGGCAGCGUGAUGGGGAGGAGCAGACCCAGGACAUGGAGUUUGUGGAGACCAGGCCUGCGGGCGAUGGGACCUUCCAGAAGUGGGCGGCCCUGGUGGUGCCCCCUGGAGAGGAGCAGAGAUACACGUGCCAUGUGCAGCAUGAGGGGCUGCCUGAGCCCCUGACCCUGAGAUGGGAGCCGCCUCCUUGGGCCACCAUUCCCCUUGUGGGCCUGGUUGUGGGCCUGGUCAUCCUUGGAGCUGUGGUCACUGGAGCUGUGAUUUGGUGGAGGAGGAAUCGCUCAGGUGGAAAAGGAGGGAGCUAUGCUCAGGCUGCCAGCAGCGAUAGUGCCCAGGGUUCUAAUGUAUCUCUCACGGCUUCUAAUGCCUGAGGCACUUGUCGGGGACUGAGUGAUGGGAGAUGUGUUCACCCUCCCACUUUGUGAUUCAAGAACCUCUGAUUUCUUUCUGCAAACAGCAUCUGAAUGUGUGUGUUCCUAUCAGCAUAAUGUGAGGAGGUGGGAGCCUGGGCUAUCCCUGCCCACCACACCCCCUCCCCAGCCUUUCCUGUCCAGUAGAGGUGGGGCUGGGCCCUCCCCAUUCCUGUCUUUACUUCCUGGUGCGCUCAGCUGCAGCUUCUUACUGCCUGAUUGAAAUAAGAGUCUGGAUAUGCA